rnacentral:lncRNA from 1 species
UUUUUUUUUUUUUUUUGAGAUGGAGUCUCACUCUGUUGCCCAGGCUGGAGUACAGUGGUGAGAUCUUGGCUCACUGCAACCUCCACCUCCCUCCUGAUCAAGCGAUUCUCCUGCCUCAGCCUCCUGAAUAGCUAGGAUUACAGACGUGUGCCACCAUGUCUGGCUAAUUUUUUUGUAUUUUUAGUAGACACGGGGUUUCACCAUGUUGGCUAGGCUGGUCUCAAACUCCUGACCUCAGGUGAUUCGCCUGCCUUGGCCUCCCAAAAUGCUGGGAUUACAAGCGUGAGCAACCGCGCCCGGCUAUAACAGGUUAUUUCAAAAACCUAUCAACAAAAUUAAAGUUACCAGUACUUACUCUUAAACAGUAUGCUACACAGUUUAUUACAAAGUAGUAUUUUAGCUUAUUGCCUAAUUAUAUUUUCUAUGUGUAGUAUAAAUACAUAUGCCAUGUGAGAGGUUUUAUCUUUUAUACAAACUGCAGGAAGACAGAAGCAACUGUGGGGUAAC